CAUGGUAUAGCUUAAAUCUUAAAGCAGUUCCCUUACACUGAACAGACAUUCGUGCAAUCCGAUUUACCUUGA
rnacentral:tRNA from 1 species